GACGAACGCUGGCGGCGUGCUUAACACAUGCAAGUCGAACGGAAAGGCCCUGCUUUUGUGGGGUGCUCGAGUGGCGAACGGGUGAGUAACACGUGAGUAACCUGCCCUUGACUUUGGGAUAACUUCAGGAAACUGGGGCUAAUACCGGAUAGGAGCUCCUGCUACAUGGUGGGGGUUGGAAAGUUUCGGCGGUUGGGGAUGGACUCGCGGCUUAUCAGCUUGUUGGUGGGGUAGUGGCUUACCAAGGCUUUGACGGGUAGCCGGCCUGAGAGGGUGACCGGCCACAUUGGGACUGAGAUACGGCCCAGACUCCUACGGGAGGCAGCAGUGGGGAAUAUUGCACAAUGGGCGGACGCCUGAUGCAGCAGCGCCGCGUGCGGAAUAACGGCCUUCUGGUUGAAAACCGCUUUCGCCUGUGACGAAGCGUGAGUGACGGUAAUGGGUAAAGAAGCACCGGCUAACUACGUG
rnacentral:rRNA from 1 species